GCCAGCUGGGAUUUGAAGAUGAGAGGAAAAAUCGGGUGAAGGCUGCCUUGGAGAACUGGUUCGGUGCUGGGAGAAGGAAGAUGGACGGCUGGUGUCGGGGUGUAGAUGUAACACGGGGUUCGGUGAGGCUGAUUUGUGGUUGAGAGAGGAGAGGGACGAUGGGUUGUGUAGGGGCUGAGGAUGGAUGGCUGUCGGUCAGAGAGAGGCUGGG
rnacentral:lncRNA from 1 species